rnacentral:misc_RNA from 1 species
UCAGUUUAUUUCGGGUAGCCCUAAUGCAAUAAAAACCGAGUGGGAGCACUGCGGAUGAAAAGCAGCAAAUUUCUUUAGCAGUCCCUGAAAUGAUUCCAAACACACUACGGAGUUCAUGUGCUAUUUUUUCUUGCCAUUUUUAUUUUAUGCCUUUUUAUGGUUCCACCUGAAAACUAUCGUCUAAUUAUCGCAUAGAAACGUGCGGAAGAGGAACGUCCCAGAUGAAUGAGAAACUGAGAAAUUUUCGGAACGGCAAAACAUUACGGACCAUCCCAGAAAUGGUUGGUCGCAUGAAUAGGCUACUCGAUUUAUUAGUGAGGGCGCGAAAGAAUAAUGUAUUAAGUUAAUGAAGAUAUAGUGUGUGAUGGCACGUGUAAAGUCUAACCACAACCGAGGAUCUGUGUCGUUAAGACCGAAAUUUGAUUCACUGCCUUUACCCAGAAAAUCACCUAGAAUCAUGUCUCUCUCAUUGGAGG